rnacentral:lncRNA from 1 species
AGAUCUCGAUUGCCUAAAUCAUAUUGUAUUUUAUGCAAACCAAUUCGACUAAAUCAAAGAAAAACAAACUGUAACUGUAUGUUGAAGUAAUACGUUAUUGGCAACGUUAUUGCCUAAUCGGUAAAUAAAGUUAUUAGGUCGUGCAUAUCAUUUAGCAUACCUGGUUAAAAAGUACACUCUCUCUCACUCUCUCCAUAUAUAUAUGCAGCCAGUCUUUCAGAAGCCUUUGAAAUAGGAAGUGACCAAAUUAUCACAAGCAUCACGCUCAGCCAGAUGUACGGGGGAAGGAAGCUCUCGGAUAUGUAGCACAUAAGUCUUCUUCUGAUGAACUCAGGCACAGUUUGAGGACAGAACAGUAAACGCUGAACUUUGAUGCUGAGAUGGUUUUCUGGAGCUGUUUAUUGUCACUCUUUCUCUGGCUCAGAGUGCCAUCUGCUAAUGCUGUGGGAUGGAACAUUGAAGUGCCAGAAUCAGUGAAACACCGGAGAAUCCUAACGUCUCUGUGGAAGAGGAAGUGACAUCAGGGAAACCGGUGACUGCUACCUGUGCCGUGUCUCAUUCCUGUCCCUCAGACCUGCCUAAAGUCACCUGGAGCCAUGAUGGCAAACAAUCGAGUCCAUCACAGCCACAGAAUCAUGGUCAAUGGAAGCUUACAUCUUACAGCCUGACCUUCACUCCUUCUAGAGAAGACCACAACAAACAUCUCAGCUGCACUGCAGAGUUUAAAGGGAAGACAGUGACAGACUACAAAACACUCAAAGUUAAAUGUAAGUCUGCAAUGUGAGUUAAAAAUAAAUAAAUGAUUAGACGCUAAUUCAAGUCUUAUUAGCUUUUAAUGAUUUUAGGAGUGUGAUUUACAACCUUUUUGACUCUAAAGCCCCCACUGUCCAACACAAUAGUCAAAUGCAGUAUUUCUGCAGUAAUAAUGAUAAAAAUGUUUGUUUUCAAAAUUUUGAGUUUCAAAACUGUCAUAACCACAAUUAAUUUUGUGAUUUCAGAUGUUCAAGAACUAUUUUUUCUUUCAAAAUAAUACUAUUUGAGGGGCAAAGAAAAUAAAUUUGUUUUGUUUUUAAUUCUUGAUUUUAUUUUGUUUAAUUACAUUUAUUUAAAUUAUUUUACUAUAUUAAUUAUGUUAAUAAUGAUAUAUUAAUCUUGAUAAUUUCAAGUGGUCCUGUGAUCAAACUGAAAGUUUGCAGAGGCCCCCUAUAGUUGAAAACCUUAUUCGAAAACUGAAGUUUGAAUAAAAAGCAUCUAUUACUGUUUUUCUCGAUUGCUAAAACACUAUAACCAGGCUUUUGAACUAUAAUUUAAAAACCAUAACAUCCUUUUUUUAAAGAGCACACCCAUUCCCCUAAACUAUAAACACUAUUCCCCUGCUUUGACACAUGAGUCAGAUUUGGUGAACUAUUACUGCAAAACUCUACACACAAAUCAUUACAUUUCUCAGUGCUUACACCAUGUGGUUACUUACAAAGCACUAGCAUUCCAUAUUGUUCACUCAAGUCAGCACAGUUUGAGCUCAAUUAGCACACAAUUACCCAAAUGGAAAUUCUAGAAGUCAAAAUUUAUCACACCCCAAUCAGAAC